AAGGAUUGGCAAAUGUUGCCCCCUCCACUACUAUGUGCCCACAACAUUAUUUGGCAUGUGGAAUCUUAGUCUGGAUGUCAGCCAGCACUGUUGAAACAAAAUGCUGACAGCCCUACAUUUUAAGGGCAAAUGUUGUUUGUGGCAACAAAGACAUCUGCGGCUGGUGCCAAGACAACUUCUGAAAUGAGCGCCCAUUCCUGGUUGGAUAGGUUGCAGGUGCCAGAGCAAGAGAAAGGUGGAGUUCCACCAGGUCAGAAGAUCUUGAGGGAUUAAGUAUUCAGCCAAUGCGAGGUCAGUCACUCCUGGCAAAACAAGAUUUGAAUGGAACCAAGCCAAUCUCAGGCCAGCGGGGAAUCACCAGCCAAUAUUGCACACUGCUUCGGGCCAUGCUGACCACGUAAAUAGCCACCAGGCAUGCAUGGAGGCCAUGUGUGUGCUGGUGUCCUGCAAAGGCAGCUGGGGGAGAAGACUGCCAGCACAUGAAGAUAGCUGGAUGGGGGAGCGCCACCAGUACAGGAAGUGGCAGUGAGUGGCAGAGGAGCAGUCUUCAACAGAUGGCUGGAUGACUGACAUCUUCUAACAACAUUCAACACUCAUUAUCACCGUGCCAUUUCAAGUACAGUUCCAUUUUCUUCUUUCCAUUCCUUCAUUUAUCAAGCCAUCCAUUUAUUUGAAGUGAACCAUUGACAUCGAUGAAGAUUGUUACAUGUGGCUUUAGUUUAAACUUUUACUACAGUACUUGGAGUGGGUGGAAACAAAUAAACAUCAGGUGUAUAGUGAAGUAUAAACCACAGUGCAUUUUCGCUUUCCAUUUUCAUUCGAAGAGAGAGGCUAUCCAGAAGAAUAUAUUGCUCCCAUUCCAAACACUUCUCAAACCCUGAAACAGGGCCUUUCUAGCGGCUGCUUGCAUUUAUUGGCAGUGCUUCUCUUUCUUUUUCUUUUGGGGGGAUGGGGUCAUAUUUCCGUGGUAGAGCAUCUGCUUUGCAGGCACAAGAUCCCAGGUUCAGUUCCAGGCAGCUUCAUGUAGGGCUAGGAAAGCCUGCUGCCAGAAACCUCGGAGAGCUGCUGCCAGGCAGUGUAGAAAAUACUGGGCUAGGUCAACCAAUUGUCUAGCUUGGUGUAGUGCAGCUUCUAAUGUUCAUAUGUUGUCCUCUGUUGCUGCUGAAUGACAUUUUCUUGGUUGGAUGUUCUCUUAUCCAGCAGUGAUCCCAUUGGCACCAAUGGAAGCUUUCCAAUAAAUGAGCCACAUAAGGGGCCAUUCUGGAUUGUGAUUGUGAUGGGAGUAAAGGGUUAAAGCAUUGGUGCAUUGUAUGUGGGGCUGCCUUGGAAAAUGCACUUGGUCCAAAAUAGGGUCACACGAUUAUUAACGGGGGCUGGGCAUUUUGAACAUAUUAUGCCAGUGCUUCGUCAGCUGCACUGGCUCCCUGUUCAUUUCUGGGCCCAAUUCAAAGUGCUAGUUUUAACCUUUAAAGCCCUAAACAGUUUGGGAUUAGGUUACCUGAGAGAGCAGUUUGCCACAUAUGUCCCGACUCGGACCUUAAGAUCUUCUUUGGAGGCCCUGCUCCGAGUCCCCCUGCCAAAUGAGGUGAGGUGGGUGGCUAUUAGGGAGAAGGCCUUUUUGACAGUGGCACCAUGUUAAUGGAAUAGCUUCAGCAGUGAGGCUCAGCUGGUCUCAUCACUUUGUUCCUUUAGGCAGCAGAUGAAGACACCAGGUCACUCAGGCUUUUUAAAAUUGAUUUUUUAAAAGAAGUAUUAAAAAUGUUUUGUAUUGUAUUUUUUAUUUUGUGUUGUAAUUUGUUUGUCUUGAAUGUGUUUGUAUUGGAUUUUUUUUAGUGUUGUGUUGUGAGCCACUCAGAGAACAGUUUGUUAUGGAGUGGCUAACAAAUAAAGAUGAUGGUGGUGGUGGUAA